rnacentral:rRNA from 1 species
GAUGAACGCUGGCGGCGUGCCUAAUACAUGCAAGUCGAGCGAACAGACGAGGAGCUUGCUCCUCUGACGUUAGCGGCGGACGGGUGAGUAACACGUGGAUAACCUACCUAUAAGACUGGGAUAACUUCGGGAAACCGGAGCUAAUACCGGAUAAUAUAUUGAACCGCAUGGUUCAAUAGUGAAAGACGGUUUUGCUGUCACUUAUAGAUGGAUCUGCGCCGCAUUAGCUAGUUGGUAAGCUAACGGCUUACCAAGGCAACGAUGCGUAGCCGACCUGAGAGAGUGAUAGGCCACACUGGAACUGAGACACGGUCCAGACUCCUACGAGAGGCAGCAGUAGGGAAUCUGCGGCAAUGGUCGAAAGCAUGACGGAGCAACGCCGAGUGAGUGAUGAAGGUCUUCGGAGCGUAAAACUCUGUUAUUAGGGAAGAACAAAUGUGUAAGGAAAUAUGCACGGCUUGACGGUACCUAAUCAGAAAGCCACGGCUAACUACGUG